rnacentral:rRNA from 1 species
GACGAACGCUGGCGGCGCGCCUAACACGUGCAAGUCGAACGGAGUCAAGAGGAGCUUGCUUUUCUUGACUUAGUGGCGAACGGGUGAGUAACGCGUGAGUAACCUGCCCUGGAGUGGGGGACAACAGUUGGAAACGACUGCUAAUACCGCAUAAGCCCACGGAUCCGCAUGGAUCUGCGGGAAAAGGAUUUAUUCGCUUCAGGAUGGACUCGCGUCCAAUUAGCUAGUUGGUGAGGUAACGGCCCCCCAAGGCGACGAUUGGUAGCCGGACUGAGAGGUUGAACGGCCACAUUGGGACUGAGACACGGCCCAGACUCCUACGGGAGGCAGCAGUGGGGGAUAUUGCACAAUGGGGGAAACCCUGAUGCAGCGACGCCGCGUGGAGGAAGAAGGUUUUCGGAUUGUAAACUCCUGUCGUUAGGGACGAUAAUGACGGUACCUAACAAGAAAGCACCGGCUAACUACGUG